GUCAUUGUGCAUGUUUAAUGAAUCACGUCAGAGUCGAGACUGUGAAAAAAUAACCUUGCAAAGGUUGUUUUAAAAAAGAAUAAACCGUCAUUAGAAUCCCUACAACACAAACGCCACCCAAAAGAGGUCGGCUCUCUGCUUUCAGAGUGUUAUGGACCCAAUUUUAACUGUUCUCCAGCGCAGGACUCUGCUUCACACACUCAGGAUGCCUUCUUGUCCCAGCAUUAUCGGCAAGAUGCGAAGCUGCAGCUCCUGCGCAGUUGGGUUUGGCAGUGGUUACCAACUGAUAAUGGGUUUCACUGGCUGAGUGUGACCCCUGCUCCGGCUGAACAGUCUAGACAGCAAGUCUCACUGCCAAGCCCAGCG
rnacentral:lncRNA from 1 species